rnacentral:tRNA from 1 species
GCCGGGGUGGCCGAGUGGUUAGGCAGCGGGCUGCAGACCCGCUAUACGGGGGUUCAAAUCCUCUCCCCGGCU